CAGUCGCCGCGGGAAUACAGAGGGUGCGAGCGUUAAUCGGAUUUACUGGGCGUAAAGCGUGCGUAGGCGGCUUCUUAAGUCGGAUGUGAAAUCCCUGAGCUUAACUUAGGAAUUGCAUUCGAUACUGGGAAGCUAGAGUAUGGGAGAGGAUGGUAGAAUUCCAGGUGUAGCGGUGAAAUGCGUAGAGAUCUGGAGGAAUACCGAUGGCGAAGGCAGCCAUCUGGCCUAAUACUGACGCUGAGGUACGAAAGCAUGGGGAGCAAACAGGAUUAGAUACCCCUUAGUCCCUGUCUCUUAUACA
rnacentral:rRNA from 1 species